GACGAACGCUGGCGGCGUGCCUAAUACAUGCAAGUUGAGCGCUGAAGGUUGGUACUUGUACCAACUGGAUGAGCAGCGAACGGGUGAGUAACGCGUGGGGAAUCUGCCUUUGAGCGGGGGACAACAUUUGGAAACGAAUGCUAAUACCGCAUAAAAACUUUAAACACAAGUUUUAAGUUUGAAAGAUGCAAUUGCAUCACUCAAAGAUGAUCCCGCGUUGUAUUAGCUAGUUGGUGAGGUAAAGGCUCACCAAGGCGAUGAUACAUAGCCGACCUGAAAGGGUGAUCGGCCCCAUUGGGACUGAGACACGGCCCAAACUCCUACGGGAGGCAGCAGUAGGGAAUCUUCGGCAAUGGACGAAAGUCUGACCGAGCAACGCCGCGUGAGUGAAGAAGGUUUUCGGAUCGUAAAACUCUGUUGGUAGAGAAGAACGUUGGUGAGAGUGGAAAGCUCAUCAAGUGACGGUAACUACCCAGAAAGGGACGGCUAACUACGUG
rnacentral:rRNA from 1 species